rnacentral:rRNA from 1 species
AACGAACGCUGGCGGCAGGCUUAACACAUGCAAGUCGCGCGAAGUCUUCGGACUUAGCGGCGGACGGGUGAGUAACGCGUGGGAACGUGCCCUUCAGUGCGGAACAGCCCCGGGAAACUGGGAUUAAUACCGCAUACCGCCCGUUCGGGGGAAAGAUUUAUCGCUGAGGGAUCGGCCCGCGUCUGAUUAGAUAGUUGGUGGGGUAAUGGCCUACCAAGUCUACGAUCAGUAGCUGGUCUGAGAGGAUGACCAACCACACUGGGACUGAGACACGGCCCAG